GACGAACGCUGGCGGCGUGCUUAACACAUGCAAGUCGAACGGAAAGGCCCCCAUCUUGGUGGGGGUGCUCGAGUGGCGAACGGGUGAGUAACACGUGGGUGAUCUGCCCUGUACUUCGGGAUAAGCUUGGGAAACUGGGUCUAAUACCGGAUAGGACCAUGGUUUAGUGUCUCAUGGUGGAAAGAUUAUUGUUUUGGUGCAGGAUGAGCUCGCGGCCUAUCAGCUUGUUGGUGGGGUAAUGGCCUACCAAGGCGUCGACGGGUAGCCGGCCUGAGAGGGUGGACGGCCACAUUGGGACGGAGAUACGGCCCAGACUCCUACGGGAGGCAGCAGUGGGGAAUAUUGCACAAGGGGCGCAAGCCUGAUGCAGCGACGCCGCGUGGGGGAUGACGGCCUUCGGGUGGUAAACUCCUUUCGUUAGGGACGAAGCCGCACUUUUUUUGGGUGUGGUGACGGUACCUUUGUUAAGAAGCACCGGCUAACUACGUG
rnacentral:rRNA from 1 species